AUGGCAUACCAGCCCCAGGUUGAUUCUCUCGCUGGCUCAUGGGCAGAAAUGGACCUGGCUAUUGUGGAGACUGUGGGUGGGCUUGCUCAUGUGGGACUGUGGGAGCCUACCCAACGGUUAGUGGAGCUGGAGGAGGAGCAUCACCAUGCCAUAAACGUGUUCAUAGAGGGUGUUGGCCAUGCCCAUGGGGAUUCCCAGGGCCAUGCCCGUGGUGUCGGCCAUGGGCGUGUCCGUGCCGGUGGCCGGGAUAUUGAUGGUGUCCGUGGGAUCCAAGUGAAGGUCGAAGUGGUCGUGGCCACUGUUAUUCAUGGUGUCCGAUGUGCUCAUGGUUGUAAUUAG
rnacentral:rRNA from 1 species